AGUGAACGCUGGCGGUAGGCCUAACACAUGCAAGUCGAACGGCAGCACAGUAAGAGCUUGCUCUUACGGGUGGCGAGUGGCGGACGGGUGAGGUAUACAUCGGAAUCUACUUUUUCGUGGGGGAUAACGUAGGGAAACUUACGCUAAUACCGCAUACGACCUACGGGUGAAAGCAGGGGAUCUUCGGACCUUGCGCGAUUGAAUGAGCCGAUGUCGGAUUAGCUAGUUGGCGGGGUAAAGGCCCACCAAGGCGACGAUCCGUAGCUGGUCUGAGAGGAUGAUCAGCCACACUGGAACUGAGUCACGGUCCAGACGCCUACGGGAGGCAGCAGUGGGGAAUAUUGGACAAUGGGCGCAAGCCUGAUCCAGCCAUACCGCGUGGGUGAAGAAGGCCUUCGGGUUGUAAAGCCCUUUUGUUGGGAAAGAAAAGCAGCAGGUUAAUACCCAGCUGUUCUGACGGUACCCAAAGAAUAAGCACCGGCUAACUUCGUG
rnacentral:rRNA from 1 species